rnacentral:ncRNA from 2 species
UCAUUCUUGUCGGGGUGCUAGUUUUUGUGUGCUUUAUUUGCGUGCAAAACAGGCUGAGAAAAACCCGUUGACCUGAUCCGGCUAGUACCGGCGUAGGGAACGAGAAGAGUUUGGCG